CUUUUCCAUUCCUUUCACCUCUUCUUUACUCUUUCUCCAUUACCCCAUGGUACCGGCUAUAGGUCUUUACUCCUCCUCCAUUUUCCCCAUGCUACAAGUACCAACCAUCCCAAAGAUUCUAAUUUUUGUCGCAGGGUUUCAAGUUCUCAUCAUCUGAUAUAAAAGACUAAGAGCGAUAUUGGUCGAAAUAUAACGAAGUGAAAGUCUUAUUUGACGGUUUUUCUGAUAAAAAAAUGAUCAUUUCCCUUUACAUUUGAUACAUUUAUAAUUUGUUCAACAUAUUUGCAUCUAGAACUUUCUAAAAAAAAAAAUUUAAUUUGAUAAAUUUAAUUUUGAAUUUUUUUUUUUCAAUUUGGAAUGUUUCGAUUGUUCUGUUUCUUGAUUGUUUAUAUUAUGGCAGAGAAUUGCAGUAGUAAGAUGGGGAACAGUGAUUAUUUUGAUAUUAGAGUUUGAAAAUGGAAUGUGUUAAGUCGUUCAUUUUUGUGGUUGAAUUGUCAAAUUUGCUUUUGCUAUUUAAUCAAAUAUGUGAUUUUUAAUUUUAUUUAUUUUUUGGAAUUUUGUAGUUUGCUGUUGAAUUAUGUUUGGCUAAUAUUUUGUUGAAAUUUGUAUUUGUUUAUCUGUGUAUAAGCAUCGAAAAAAUUAUCAAACGUAUCAUUUCGAUUAAAAAUCACUUGCUUUUCCUACUUAUUUGCUUUUCUCCCCAUCUUUUGAUUUAUAAGUUUCUUUACAUUCACUUGCCACGAAAAAAAUACUUUUACAGGAAGAAAAGCUGCUGAUAAGGAAUUUCAUUAUAUCAACAAAGAUAUUCUUCUUUUUAUUUGUUGUCCUUCCUUAUCUCCUUGCUCUCGCCUUAUUUUCAUUUUUACAGCUAUCCUAUUUUAUGCAUGUUCAGUCUUCAUGUUGACCUUUUUGAGAUAUGAAUAGAUUAGUUUCAAAACACUAUGAUAUUUACUUCUAAAGGAACGAAAUGAGUACUUGUAUGUUUUAAUUUAUGAUUAUAUUUUUUGUAUAGAGAAAACGACAUUUUGAUGAUUCUUUGAUCAAUUUGAGCCAUACCUUCGUGGGUUGUAAUUUUCAAGAAUUUUUUAAUUUUACUUGUUGCAUAGAUUGACGUGGUAGGUUACAAUAAAAAUGGUAGCCACUGCUGCAACUUUUGCCUUCCUAGCAAUAGCUUCUUCCGCUGUCGACCUUGUCAAGCACUAUGUUUUGUGCUGAUAAGACCAUUGUCGAAGAACACUUACACUACGAUAAAUAGAGCAGUGGCAGAGCUAUUGUGUCUCGAGCUCGUUUGGCUGGUUGAUAGGUGGACUAGAGUUAAGUUGAAGAAAUCUAAGCUUACUAUUCCAUUUUUUAUAUUACAUCAUUUGUUGAUUGCAAAGCUUAUUUCUUACAUAUUUUCAAAUUUUCGCAGUCUCCGAUCUCUAUUAUGUUUGAAGAACAGAUAUGUAAUUGAAAGUCGAGAUCAUAGUAAACGUAAUUCCGAAUAUCUAGUAUCUUAAAUAAAGUUAGUUAUUGCCAUUAAGAGUGAUAAUAUAGUUGGUGAUACACCUUGGAAAUUUCAAUCACUAAAUAUAAAAAUUGUUGGAAAUACACAUGUUUUUACUGGUGAUAAAGAGGGGAAGUAGUUUUGCAGUUGCUAUAGCAGCAACAGCCGGUGAAGUAUCUGAUUUCAUUUUGGUGUGGAUCAAACCUAGAUCUUGAACUAGCCCUGCAUUUCAAUUUUCAAUGGAAGAUGAGAGGGCAAGGCAAGAAGCAGCUAUAAAGAAGGUUGCAAAAGAAGCUGCACAGCAGGAAAAUUGUUAACAUUCUGCAUUACAGGAUGCUACCAUAUUUGAAAAUGUGGACACCAGAACGACUUAAUCUGAAAAUGAAACAAAAGACCUAAUGGUUAAACUCUCUUUUACACUUCAUGCCUUGGAUUUUCUAAGUUUUAUUUGUUUGCAAUAGUGGUAAGACUACAAUGGCAGUGAGUUUCAAUUUUGAUGAUGAUUUUCCAUAUGUCAAAAUUGUAAGUGAUUUUAUAUGUUCGUGCUGAGCAUUUAUAUAUUUGUUUUCAUUAUUUCCUCUCAUAUUCUUAUUCUUUUAUGUGUUUCUGAUUUUAAUUUGUUUCUUUGUUAGAUAUCUGCUGAUUUGAUUAUUGGCUUACUGAACAAAGAAAAUGUGCUCAGCUUGUCAAGGUUCUGUCUUUUGUCCUAACUCUGAACUGCUUAACUAUGUUUAGUACAAUUCAAAUUAAAUACGUAAUUUACAUAAUUUUCCUCCAUUUUCGAAAGGAUGACUUGCUUGUUUUUAUAUUAAAAUAUUUAUAUAAAUAUCUAUGGAUAGAAUUAUCUAAGCCUUAUCUUCAAUAAACUUGAUGUCAAGUAUGUGACUCAUGCUUUUUUAAAUGAAUCCUCGAUUAGUGCCCCUUGGGUAGAUCUUCAUUUUCUUUUCAGUAAUUCUAUUUUUUCUGUUCAUGUUUUUAAUAUUCUCUAGAAUAUUUAACUUAAUAAAUAUAUUUUGGUCACAUUUAAGUAAAUGUUUGAUACGUUUUGUGAUAGGUAUUCGAUGAUGUUUAUAAGUCACAACUACACAUAAUUAUCCUCGAUGAUAUUGAAAGGUAACUAUUGUUGACUCUACCAUUCUUGCGUAAUCUUUGUUAUUAACUGCACUCUGUUGGAGUAUGUUGCCAUUGAACUCCGAUUUUUGGAUGUGAUUUCUCAAACAUUGUUGGUGCUCAUGUAACGAAUUAUUUUGAAGGUAAAUUAUAAAUACAUUACUGCUCACGAUUUAACUCUCCUUUGCUUCUUAGUUCAUCUAAUAUUAUUGUAUCUCUUAUCUAAUCUUUGUAGGGGA
rnacentral:lncRNA from 1 species